rnacentral:lncRNA from 10 species
GUGGUCUCCCUGCCCUCUAAGCCCCCACCUGUGCAAGUAAAUGUGUAUGCAAGUAAAAACAACAUCAAAUAAACUCCAAGUGACACUCUAAAGAGAAAAAUUGGGAAAGGGUCUGUGACAAAGGAAAACUGAGUAAUCUAAGGUGUGUGUUUCUGUUUCUUUAGGUAUUUAUCUAUCAAGCAUCUAUUUCUUUAGAUAUCAUGACCUAGCCAAGAGAAGCCUUAGUAAGGUAAUGGAGAGAGAGGACUGGAAAAGGUUAACCGGCUUCAGCUCUACACUGCUGACUUAGACUGACAGCAAUUGCGUUCCUUCUCUUGCUCUCUGGUUCUCUCAAACAGUGUUACUGUAGCUAAUCUCUCCCCACCCUUCAUUAAGGCUAGAUGAGGUCUGGAAUGACCUUCAGAUUUAUCUUGCCCUAUACUGAACUGGUUGGGUCCCAGGGUUGGUGACUUCCUGGGGAGAUUCCAGGAAGAUGGAAGAACUCCACACAGGAUCACUCUCCAUCUGUGCUCCUACUGUUUAGUCUCAAUCACGUGAGCAGAAAUUUAUAUGUCAACAACAGCACUCUAGGAUGGCUUAUAUCCCUUUGGAAACCAGGUCCAGGAUUUCCUACAUCCCUAUAAUUGCAAUAAUACUACCUCAAACUAGGAAAAAAAAAACUUGAGUUCAAAGCCAGGUAACCUGCUCCUACCCGUACAGUACAUUCACAUAAGGAGACUCAUACUCAUCUGAAAAAAUGCUUCAUGUUCAUCUGUGAUUAGUUUAUCCUAAUUCAUUAGUCAGAGUCUUUCCCUUAGGUGAGGCUUCCAGGAAAACAGGGAUUCAGGCCAGUAGUGUUGCGAGACCAACAAGAAAUACCUUUUUUUGAGGGCAGCUGGCCUCUGUGCCAGGGUGGAGAUUCUAUGCUGGCAUCACACACCUGCUGAAUUCUUACCACAAGAAUCUAAACAACGAAAAAAGAAAAAACAAAUCAUGCACACCUGUGGCUGCCAACCAGUGAGGUUUCAUUGCCAUGCCAUGCACACCUGGGAAGCCUGUGAGGUCAGCUGCAGUGUCAGAGGAAAACAACACUCUCAGCCAGUUGGUAGGAGGCACAAAGCAUCCAUCUCCCAUGGGUCUGUGACAUGAACUGACUGGCCAAUAGCCAUAGAAAGUACAUACACACACAUCUUCUAUGAAAGGAAAACCCUAAGUGUAGGCAUGGCAAGAAUAAAAGAGAUUUCAGAGCAGAGGCUAACUGUAAUCAUUAUCUGCUGCGCACUGUGCCCCCAGGAAGAAGGAGUCUUCUUGCAUCAACUCUUAGGUCCUCCUUUAUUAGCCAAAUCCAGUCGCUGGGUAACCCAGAGAAUAGAAAAAGACUAUAUUGAAUAAGUGUCUCUGUAUGACUGAAAAAACAGAAAUGCAGAGUGCUGGAUUAUGAGGAGAGUGAGAAUUUUGAGAGGAGAGAGUCUGAAAGCAGCACCUGCUGGAUGUGUGAGAUACUGAAAGACUAAGAAAGUGAAUUGCAGAAAUAUACAGGGAUAGUGGAUUUAAGUUUUGCAUAACAUUAGUCAUGGAAUUCCCCUGUGAUGUUUCUAGAAAAGAUGUGAUUUGGUUUUUAAUUUUUUUUUUGUGGGGGUAGGCAGAAGUUGAUGGACCUUAAACAAUUUUUUUUGUAGUUACUGCCAAGGUGUAACUAUAAGGCACCCAGAUUUAUAUGCUUACCUAAAGAAAGCAUCAGGUAUCAAAUACAGUACUGGUCGAUUCCAAAAUGAUAAAUAUUUAAAAGCAAGAAGGCAUGUGUAUUUGCCUGUGUGUGUCGUAGGGGAUGGUAUACAAGAUUGUGCAGUGUGGGUUCUAGAAACAUUGUUUCUGUAUCAGGUGACAUUCUAUGGCUGACUUCCUAGGAUUAGAUUAAGAAGUAUCAACAAAUUAUUUUCUGUAUCUUCAGCAGCACUCUACUGGUGGAAUAAAAGUCGGGUCUGAAAGCUGGUGGAAUAAAUGCUCAACAGUGUAAAGGGGCUGGAUCUGCAAGUAGUCUAUUGGCAGUGGGUGGCAUGGCCAACAAUAAUACAAUUAACUUUCAAUUGUUCUUGAAGCUGAUUGUCUGGUUCCUAGGCAUGUAUAUUCCUCUGAGAAGAUACCUGUGAGAUCUCCUUAGGUCAUGUGGACCCAGCUCACACUAUGCUGUGGAGCACUUCAGUGAGAUAAGCUAUUUCUAUGAAAUGUUUGCUUUACCGUCCAUCAGUGCAAGCAUCUUUUUUAAACAAAGGUACUGUCAAAUUUCUUGUGCUUUAUGAACAUCUUAUAUCGAAUAUCAACUUUAAAGACGUAGUUUUUGGUGUCUAUUUGCACACGUCUCUUUAUAUUAUUCCUUGUUCUAAUGAUAGUUGACCAAUUCUUGCCCUUUGUGAUUUUUUAGCUUGACAAUUCUACUAAUUAACAUGCAGAAAAUAAUCUUAAAAAGCACACAAUAUUUUACCAAUCUUCAGUUUCGGUUACAUCAUGAAAGACCAAAAGAGGUUCUAGGGCAAAAGUGAGCAUAGUAUUUAUCUACUGAAUUUGCCUAUAGCUGAAAUAAUUCAUUUUAAAAAUCACUACCUUGGACAGAAUUAUGUAUAAAGAGAAGCAUUUUAUCAAAAUGAUUGUAUGAUUCUAUCAAUGUAAAUAAACUUUGAGAUGUUAAGAUACUACAUUAAUAAAAAUUUUUAUUUAUCAUUCAAAUGGAAGAGUGUACAGUUCCCCUCCUACUCCCCAUUUUUUCAUGCUACCUACUUAUCAUUAUUGGAACAAAUUCUCUUCAUGUUGCUACCUUCAUUUGAUGAAACAACUAGGGAGCAAAGAAGCUGAACCAACUCCUAUCCUUCUAAGAUAGAUUUGAAUUGGUUAUUUCCUAUUACUUCUCACUGCUUCUUAAUUUAUCCUCAAGGAAAAAGCAUAGAGAAUAGAAUAUUCUGAUGCAGUGGUCUCAAUUAAGUAUUCUAGAAUAUUAAGCAUCAUAAAGAAUCUCUGUCCCUAUAAUUGCCAAAUCCUAGACAACUGUCAAAACUAUUAAAAGAGGCUCUUUCCUGAAUAUUUUAUUGUGAGUUUUACUAUUGACUUAGUGGCCAAAGAGGGAAGCAAUAAUCAUGCAAGUAUGGGGGUUAAUAAUAAGAAAGAAACUCAUGAGGGUUUGUUUUGGGAUAAACAAUUUAUAUGAGGUUUCCUAACCGGAAGACAAAUCACCCAACAUUCCUUUGAAAAACGAUUGAUUCACAUUCAAAUUCUGGUUGAUCACCAAGGCAGACAGAGCAAAACAGAAGACUCCUCAUACUUGAGGAAAUUUUCUUAAAUUUGGACAUCAGACUUUUCCACUUCACCAACUUCACUUUGGAAGUACUAGAGGUUGCCCAAACAGCAGUAAGAGUAAUAGACAUGCUGGACUUCAUUGACAUCUUUCAUAGAAGAAAGAAUAAGGCAAGCAAGCCUCAUGGUAUGGACAGAGCAUAUGUGAAUGUAGGAAAGGGGACAGCUGACCUUUCCAUAAGAAAGAAGGUCCCUCUUGAGCCCAGGCCAAAACCAGAGACAGUCCAUGGUGCUUCUGGAGGGUAAAUGUCUAUAAACUUGAUUGCAGCCUUUUUUUUUUUUUUUUUUUUUUGAGACAGGGUCUUGCUUUGUUGCCCAGGCUGGAAUGCAUUAGGAUGAAUACGGCUCACUGCAUCCUUGACCUCCUGGGUUCAAGCAAUCUUCCUGCCUCAGUCUCCCAAGUAGCUGGGACUACACAUAUGUGUCACCAUGCCAGCCUAAUUUUUAAUUUAUUUUUUGUAAAAAUGGGGUCUCACUAUGUUGCCCAGGCUGGUCUCAAACUCCUGGGCUCAAAUGAUUCUCCCACCUCAGCCACCCAAAGUGCUGGAAUUACAGGCAUGAACCACCUCACCCAGCCUUCUUUUUUUAUUUCAUUAUAUUCUAAGAGAAUCUGUAAUAUUUCCUUGGGCACUAAUGACGUUCAAACUCAGGGUCCCAUUAACUAAUCUUCACUUCUCUUGGCAUUUUCUCUGUUUUUAAUUUCUCACAAGAUAAAAUUGAAUAUCCAAACUAUAUUUACUAUUUUAAAAACAAUAUUGCAAAGCUUAAUAAAUACUUUGUAAUGUAGGCUUUUAUAGUAAUACACAUUUGUUAUUAUAUUACAUUUCUCUUUCUUAACUACACAUCAAAGACAAUCUUUUGGAUAGCUGGUAGUCUUCCUCCUCAUUUUAAAACCAUUAAGACUUCACUUCUUAGUUAUCUAGUGUUAAGAGUAUGCAACACGUCAAGUGCACUUGCUUUCUCAUAAAUAAAUUAAACUUUUUCCCUGAAAUAAAUGCCAAACCAGUCAAAAUUCAUUUUGUGCCCAAGCCAACCUAAAGGGUCCUAGGGGAGAAAUACUGUUAUUCAAAGACAUCUAGUGCAACUGGCAUAAAAACAUACACAUAGACUGAUGGAACCGAAUAGAAAGCCGAGAAACAAAGCCACACAUAUACAGCCAACUGAUCUUCAAGAAGGGUGCCAACAACACACAAUGGAGAAAGGGUAGUCUCUUCAAUAAAUGGUGCUGAGAAAACUGAAUAUCUAACGCCAAAAAAUAAAAUUUGACCCUUACUUAUCGCACACCAUACAAAAAACUCAACUCAAAAUGGAUUAAAGACUUAAACCUACAACCUGAAAUCAUAAAACUUACAGAGAAAAGUAUAGGAGAAAGACUCCAUGACAUUGGUCUUGGCAAUAAUUUUUUUUAAUAUGACCCCAAAAGCAUAGGCAAUAAAAGCAAAAAUAAACAUGUGGGACUAUAUCUAACUAAAAAUUUCUGCAAAGCAAAGGAAACAAUCAACAAAAACAAAGAAAACCUAUGGAAUGGGAGAAAAUAUUUGCAAACCAUAUAUCUGGUAAGGGGCCAAUAUCCAAAAAUAUAUAAGGAACUCAUGCAACUCAAUAGCAAAAAACAUUAAUAAUAAAAUAACUCAAUUUAAAUAUGGGAAAAAGGACCUGAAUAGAUGUUUUUUCAAAGAAGACAUACAAUAGCGAUCAAGUAUAUGAAAUGAUACUGAAUAUCACUAGUCAUCAUGGAAACGCAAAUCAAAAAACCACAAUGAGAUAUCACCUCUCAGCUGUUAGAAUGACUGUUAUUGGCGAAGAUGUGGAGAAAAGGGGCUCUUUAUAUACUGUUGGUAGGAAUUUAAACUGGAAUAGCCAUUAGGGAAUACAGUAUAAACAGUCCUCAAAAAAUUGAAAAUACAACUCCUUUAUGAUCCAGCAAUCACACUUCUGUGUAUAUUUCCAAAGUAAAUAAAAUCGCCAUCUCAAUGAGAUGUCUGCACUCACAUAGUCAUUGACUGCAACAUUAUCAACAGUAGCCAAAAUAUAGAAACAACCUGAAUGCGAAGGAUGAAUCAUUUUAAAAUGUGGUACAUACACAAUGGAAUACUAUUUAGCUUUUUAAAAAGAAGAAAACCCUGCCAUUUGGGACAAUGUGGACAAACCUGGAGGAUAUUAUGCUAAGUGAAAUAAGCCAAACACAAAAAGACAAAUACUGCAUGAUUUCACUUAUAUGUGGAAUCUAAAGUAAAAAAUGAUAGGAACAGAGAGUAGAAUGGUUGUUCCCAAGAACUAGGAGGUAGGGGAAAUGGGGAGAUGUUGGUUAAAGGGUACAAACUGGCACUUGUAAGAUGAAUAAAUUCUGGAGACCUAAUAUACAGCAUUGUGUCUAUAGUUAAUAAUAAUGUAUUGUAUACAUGAAAUUUGCUAAGGGAGUAGAUCUUAAGUAUUUUCACUACACACACACACACACACACUCACACACACAUAACUACAUGAGGUGAUGGGUAUCUUAAUUAGCUUGAUUGUGGUAAUCAUUUUACAAUGUAUAUGUAUAUCAAAACAUCACGUUGUACACCUUGAAUGUAUACAAUUAUUAUUUGCCAAUUAUACCUCAAUAAAGCCAAAAAAUAAAAAAUAAAACAAACACAAAAAAUCUGUUGCAUAUGUCUAAAAUCUCAAAUUAUUUCAUUCUUCUUCAUUAUCAAGCACACAUUAUUUGUCAGCCUCCUGAUGCUGACCACCGUUGUUAGGUAUCUUAGAAGUGCAAUGUUGCUGUUGUUGCCAUUUUAAUGAAUAUUCCUGUCUUAGUUAACAUAGAUUGCCUGUUUCAAUAUGUAAGGUGUCACUGUAGAAUCUAAAAUCAAACUUAAAAGUGUGAGAACUAUUUAUUUUUAAAAUGACACAAGGAAGCACAUCUUCAUUGUAAUAUCACAUUUUAGGAUUACAUUGUUGGAACAUAAUGUAUUGCCCAAGCAUUGAUUCAAAAUUAGUUAAUGAAUUUCUGACUCCAGUGUAAUCUGUUUCCACUAUUCCUUUCCACCUAUUUAACACAGCAUAAGAGAUAUUCACUCUCUACUCAUGUCAUUAUGUUCUAUGUGUAAAUGUAUGUAUGUUCGAAAGAAGAAAACUAAGUUCACAGCCAAUAUUUUAACUGAUUAAACUAAUUUGGAGCAAUUCUGGCUGAGAUGAACACAAAGCCGGGUCUGGCACAUGACAGGUGCAUCAACAACUGACUUAUACUUGCAGAGUUUUGUAAUGGCCAAUGAUAAUAAAGAUCAGCAAAGAAAAUGUGCCACAAGGCAAUAUUUUAAAGAAGCAAACUUUUUACUUUUUUCAAUGGCUUAUCUCAGAGUAUUACAAACUAAGCCACCUAAAUUUUUCUUUCACGUAAACAAGAAGUUUGUGAUCUCUCCUGAACCCUCGUUUUCAUUGUUAGUUAGAAAACGGUCAGUGCUUCCAUUUCAAACCAACCCAGAGUCAAAUAAUUAGACCAUCCAGAGAUAACUGAACUUCUAGGAAACAAGAAAUUGGAAAAAGAGCAAUAACUUAUAAAAAUCAAUCGAUAAAAUAUAAUAAUUGGCUUUUGCCCUAAUAACCCUAUGCUAGAUCUGCAUUUUAGCCAAGCUGCUUCUGCUGUUGUCUUGUUAACAUUUAUUGGGUUCUUCUGCCAGCUCUGUGCUAAGCUCCUGACACACAAUGUCACAUUUUACCCUUACAACAACUCUAAUUGGUUAGAUACAAUUAUUAUUCCUACGUGACAUGUAAAUAAACUGAGGGGCAGAUAAUUAAAG